CCCUUAGAGUUUGAUCCUGGCUCAGGACGAACGCUGGCGGCGGGCUUAACACAUGCAAGUCGUACGCGAAGGGGUCCUUCGGGACCCUAUUCGAGUGGCGCACGGGUGCGUAACACGUGGGCAACCUACCCUCGAGUGAGGAAUAACUCCGGGAAACCGGGGCUAAUACCACAUGACGUCCGGAGACCGCAUGGUCUUCGGAUUAAAGCCUUCGGGUGCUCGAGGAUGGGCCUGCGGCGGAUUAGGUAGUUGGUGAGGUAAUGGCUCACCAAGCCGACGAUCCGUAGCUGGUCUGAGAGGAUGAUCAGCCACACUGGCACUGAGACACGGGCCAGACUCCUACGGGAGGCAGCAGUGAGGAAUCUUGCGCAAUGGGGGAAACCCUGACGCAGCCACGCCGCGUGAAGGAAGACACUCCUAUGGGGCGUAAACUUCUUUUAUGUGAGAAGAAGAUCCUGUUCGACAGGAUUAGACGGUAUCACAUGAAUAAGCACCGGCUAACUCCGUGCCAGCAGCCGCGGUAAUACGGAGGGUGCAAGCGUUGUCCGGAAUUAUUGGGUGUAAAGGGUGUGUAGGCGGGGCUGUAAGUCAGGGGUGAAAGCCUACGGCUCAACCGUAGAAUUGCCUUUGAUACUGCAGUCCUUGAGUCCCGGAGAGGCCACUAGAAUUCGUGGUGUAGCGGUGAAAUGCGUAGAUAUCACGAGGAAUACC
rnacentral:rRNA from 1 species